AUGAGUCGACCUGAUGGGAUCAACAUCCCCGAUGGCAAGUUCUACCUUGAAUAUGUUGGCUAUGCAUGUCGGUCGGGUAUUCUUCCACCCUUCAGGAAAACCAAGUACCAUCUCAACGAGUUCUCUGAUAGGAACUAUCCUAGGACUGCACAGAAGCUGUUUAAUCUCAAACACUCCAGCCUUAGAGUAACUGUUGAGAGGGCAUUUGGAGAUCUGAAGAAUAGGUUUAAGAUCCUGGAUCAGAAGGCAUUCCACCCAUACUCCACUCAGGUUAAGCUUGUUCUUACUUGUUGCAUUCUGCAUAACUGGAUCCUCCAGUGGGGCUUUGAUGAACACGUGCCUGAGGAGGAAGAGGUCGAGCCUGACGAUGUUGUUAGCUCCGGCCAUGGUGUGGAGGCAUUUGACAAUGACGCUUGGAAGAACAAAAGGUUGUAGUGGGCAGAGGCAAUGUGGCUUAACAGAGGUCAGUGCAGGAUUUGA
rnacentral:rRNA from 1 species